AUGCUAAUACCGCAUAGAUCCAAGAACCGCAUGGUUCUUGGCUGAAAGAUGGCGUAAGCUAUCGCUUUUGGAUGGACCCGCGGCGUAUUAGCUAGUUGGUGAGGUAAUGGCUCACCAAGGCGAUGAUACGUAGCCGAACUGAGAGGUUGAUCGGCCACAUUGGGACUGAGACACGGCCCAAACUCCUACGGGAGGCAGCAGUAGGGAAUCUUCCACAAUGGACGCAAGUCUGAUGGAGCAACGCCGCGUGAGUGAAGAAGGCUUUCGGGUCGUAAAACUCUGUUGUUGGAGAAGAAUGGUCGGCAGAGUAACUGUUGUCGGCGUGACGGUAUCCAACCAGAAAGCCACGGCUAACUACGUGCCAGCAGCCGCGGUAAUACGUAGGUGGCAAGCGUUAUCCGGAUUUAUUGGGCGUAAAGCGAGCGCAGGCGGUUUUUUAAGUCUGAUGUGAAAGCCCUCGGCUUAACCGAGGAAGCGCAUCGGAAACUGGGAAACUUGAGUGCAGAAGAGGACAGUGGAACUCCAUGUGUAGCGGUGAAAUGCGUAGAUAUAUGGAAGAACACCAGUGGCGAAGGCGGCUGUCUGGUCUGUAACUGACGCUGAGGCUCGAAAGCAUGGGUAGCGAACAGGAUUAGAUACCCUGGUAGUCCAUGCCGUAAACGAUGAAUGCUAGGUGUUGGAGGGUUUCCGCCCUUCAGUGCCGCAGCUAACGCAUUAAGCAUUCCGCCUGGGGAGUACGACCGCAAGGUUGAAACUCAAAGGAAUUGACGGGGGCCCGCACAAGCGGUGGAGCAUGUGGUUUAAUUC
rnacentral:rRNA from 1 species